GCCUGACGCAGCGACGCCGCGUGCGGGAAGAAGGCCUUCGGGUUGUAAACCGCUUUCAGCAGGGACGAAGCUACUCGGGUGAAUAGCCCAGAGGGUGACGGUACCUGUAGAAGAAGCCCCGGCUAACUACGUGCCAGCAGCCGCGGUAAUACGUAGGGGGCAAGCGUUGUCCGGAUUUAUUGGGCGUAAAGCGCGUGUAGGCGGCCAGGUAGGUCGGUUGUGAAAACUGGAGGCUCAACCUCCAGACGUCGACCGAAACCAUCUGGCUAGAGUCCGGAAGAGGAGAGUGGAAUUCCUGGUGUAGCGGUAAAAUGCGCAGAUAUCAGGAAGAACACCGAUGGCGAAGGCAGCUCUCUGGGACGGUACUGACGCUGAGACGCGAAAGCGUGGGGAGCGAACAGGAUUAGAUACCCUGGUAGUCCACGCCGUAAACGAUGGGUGCUAGGUGUGGGAGGUGUCGACUCCUCCCGUGCCGCAGCUAACGCAUUAAGCACCCCGCCUGGGGAGUACGGCCGCAAGGCUAAGACUCAAAGGAACUGACGGGGGCCCGCACAAGCAGCGGAGCAUGUUGCUUAAUUCGAUGCGACGCGAAAGAACCUUACC
rnacentral:rRNA from 1 species